AUUGAACGCUGGCGGCAUGCCUUACACAUGCAAGUCGAACGGCAGCAUGGAGAGCUUGCUCUCUGAUGGCGAGUGGCGAACGGGUGAGUAAAGCAUCGGAACGUACCGUGUAGGUGGGGAUAACGUAGCGAAAGUGAAGCGAAUACCGCAUACGCACUGAGGUGGAAAGCAGGGGAUCGUAAGACCGUGUGCUAUACGAGCGGCCGAUGUCAGAUUAGCUAGUUGGUAGGGUAAAGGCCUACCAAGGCGACGAUCUGUAGCGGGUCUGAGAGGAUGAUCCGCCACACUGGGACUGAGACACGGCCCAGACUCCUACGGGAGGCAGCAGUGGGGAAUUUUGGACAAUGGGGGCAACCCUGAUCCAGCCAUGCCGCGUGAGUGAAGAAGGCCUUCGGGUUGUAAAGCUCUUUCGGCCGGGAAGAAAUCGCACAGGCUAAUACCCUGUGUGGAUGACGGUACCGGCAUAAGAAGCACCGGCUAACUACGUGCCAGCCGCCGCAGUAA
rnacentral:rRNA from 1 species